CACGUAGGGGGCAAGCGUUGUCCGGAUUUAUUGGGCGUAAAGAGCUCGUAGGUGGUUCGGUAAGUCGGGUGUUAAACCCCCAGGCUCAACCUGGGGACGCCACUCGAUACUGCUGUGACUUGAGUCCGGUAGGGGAGCGUGGAAUUCCUGGUGUAGCGGUGAAAUGCGCAGAUAUCAGGAGGAACACCAGCGGCGAAGGCGGCGCUCUGGGCCGGUACUGACACUGAGGAGCGAAAGCGUGGGUAGCAAAAAGG
rnacentral:rRNA from 1 species